AAAAAUUUAAGAUAUAUGCAUAUAUGCCUUUGCAUUGCAUAGAUUGGUAGUUGAAAUUUUCCAACAUGUCUUUAUCUUAAGGUUUUUGUUUUUCUUUCAUACAGGGCCUUACCAUUUUUAAUACUCUUAUUUGUCUCCAUCUAAUCUAUCUUUUUCUUCUCUUUUGCACACCUCAUCAGCCAAUCUUCUUUUAAUAAUGAAUAAAAGUCUUGCAGAGUUGUACAGAGUCUAAAAAUGGGUUCUUAAUUGAGGGUUUAAAUAAUUGUUCCUCAUUUGUCUCACUUCAGGCUUAAAUUAUUCCUCAUAAAGAAUUGCAUUAGUUUUAAAUAAUUUCUUGUAUAAUAAAUCUUUAUUUUAUACUGAGAAGAAUCCAUGUAACCCUCUUUUUUGUAUUGGUGAAGGAUCAAAUUAUGCUAAUUCCAUUUCUCAUCCUUUAUAUAAGUUUGAAUCCUUCACCUUUCUCAACUAUAUUUCAUCUGUGAGCUUCUCUUUCCAUGCAAAGAAAAUGGGAAACUCAGUUGGCUGUUUCAGCUCAACCCAGAAGGAGCUGAGAAAGAAAACCUCCAAACAUGAUCCUUACUUUUCACCACCUAAUUCAUUAGCUUCCUCCUCUUCCAAUAGAAAAGAUCAUGGCUUCAUAUUACCUUCUCUUUCUUCUUCCAAGAAAGAGGAGAAUAAUCUUAAUAAUAUUAACGAAGAGCAGCUUGAUGAAGAUUUAGCAGAACAAGCUAUUGCUGCAGCUAUGCUGUUUCGCCAUCAUCAAAGAAAUGGCACUCUUCCAUUCCCAAGAUCCUCUUCUGUAACAUAUGCUUCUCAGCAGGGAUCCCAUAAGAAGCAAGGUUUUACAAAGAGUUCAAGCUCUAGACAGCGAUCUCUUGCCGAUCCUUUGUUGAAACCAAGCCAGCUUGUUAACCAGGAUCUAAAGAUUGAAGACCUUGAAACCAAGCAUUUGGUCCUUGUUCAUGGAGGUGGUUUUGGUGCCUGGUGUUGGUAUAAAAUCAUAACACUUCUAGUGGAAAGUGGGUUCAGAGUUGAUGCAGUUGACUUAACAGGAUCUGGCACCCAUUCAUCUGAUACAAAUAGCAUUAAGACUCUAUCCCAAUACAUAAAGCCACUUACUGAUAUUUUUAACAAGCUCCAAGAAGGAGAGAAGCUCUGUGACUGUGAUCUCCUUCUUCUCACUUUACAAUCUUAUAUCAUAUUCCAUGGAAUAUAAAAGUUCUUAAUACUGUAUCUUACCAUUUAGGUGAUCUUGGUGGGACAUGAUAUUGGUGGUGCUUGCAUAUCAUAUAUGAUGGAGUUGUUUCCUUCUCAGAUUGCUAAAUCUGUUUUUAUUGCUGCAACAUUGUUGAACAAUGGGCAGAGUGCCCUUGAUAUAUUAUCCCAACAGACAGGCUUCACUGAUCAGAUGAGACAAGCUCAGGUGUUCCUGUAUGCAAAUGGGAAGGAUAAGCCUCCAACAGCUAUUGACCUUGACAAGGCUUUUUUGGCAGAUUUAUUGUUCAACCAAAGUUCAGCUAAGGACAUUGCCCUGGCAUCUGUAUCAAUGAGACCAAUCCCAUUUGCUCCACUUCUGGAGAAGCUUUCUCUUUCUGACAAGAACUAUGGAUCGAUACCACGAUUUUAUAUCAAAACUCAAGAAGAUUGUGUGAUACCUGUCUCUUUACAGGAAUCGAUGAUUGAAUCCAAUCCUCCAGAACAAGUUUUCCAAGUUAAAGGUUCUGAUCAUGCACCAUUUUUCUCCAAGCCCCAGGCUCUGCAUAGGAUACUAAUAGAGAUAGUGCAGAUUCCACCAAAGAAAACCUGAAUUUUUUGUCACGACACAGCCUGAAAUAAUAAAAUGCCUAAAGAUCUUGCAAACUGGGGCAGGUAGCAAUAGUGUUUUGGCAUCAAAUCAAUAGAUAUGGUCAAAGUUGAACGCAACACGAACAUGUGCCUGCAUAUGCCAUUAAUUGUUCCCCAUGUGUUUUCUUCAUGUCUUGGAACCACUGGCGUCUUUUUGUCACCAAGAAAGCUUAAUUUCUCUGUCCAUAUGCUUUGCUAGGAAGCAAGAUUCAUAUUCUUAUGUCAUUGAUGUAAAUUAGUGAAAAAUAUGUGUGGCCAAAAGGAAUUUUAUUGUUUGUUUUCUUGAAAAUGC
rnacentral:misc_RNA from 1 species